rnacentral:pre_miRNA from 1 species
AUAUUACUCCCUCCGUCCCAAAAUAAGUGUCUCAACUUUGUACUAGCUUUAGUACAAAGUUAUACUAAGCUUGAGACACUUAUUUUGGGACGGAGGGAGUAUUAA